GGGUCUCGCGGAACCGGUGAGUACACCGGAAUCCAGGAAACUGGAUUUGGGCGUGCCCCCGCGAGACC
rnacentral:misc_RNA from 1 species